GGAUGUGAGGGUGAUCUGGCUGUGACAUCGGUCACUCCAUUGAUCGCCAGGGUUGAUUUGGCUGAUCUGGCUGGCUAGGUGGGUGUUCCCUUCCUCCCUCAGUGCUCCACAUGCAUCCCUCUGGAAGCUGCACACUUGGUCAAAGAGGAUGGACGACCUUCCCCAAUAGGGGAGGACCCAUCUUCCCUCAAGGGUGUACGAGUAGCUGUGCUGCUUGUUAGAACCUCUAAACAAACUCUCAAUAAGAUUUUGGGCCUGGUUUUACUGAUGUGGUUUUCAUAUGGUCAAGUUUUCUAUGAUCCUAAUCUACUUUGAUAAGUUUAUCG
rnacentral:snRNA from 1 species